UCUGAGCUAGCAGUUAUAUUUAAAUUAUUAUAUUUAUAAUAAAUAGUGACAGUUGUAUGUACUUUUGUUCAGGUAAAUAGCACAUAUGUUUAUGAAUAUGUACUUUUUUCAGAUGAGCUGUACAGAUCAUUGAAGCACUUCUGCACAUGGAAUGGUCAUUGGUACUACAACGAAUAAUGUUUGUCAUACACUUUUGAGCCUGGUGCACAUAUUGGUCCGUAAAAUGCCAAAAGAACUAUGCAACUGACACAUCUAUAAAUCAAGCAGAGACAACACUUUUGAAGGAAUCAAUAAAAAGCAUAUCCGACAAAAAAAUUUUAAGUGUACAAACAAUUACAACAGACGGAAGUUUCCAACUUGCUAAAGCGGUUGUAGGGAAGCUUGGCAGAUUUGGACCAGAGUUCAGCGAAAUGAUUGAACCGUUCUUUAAGGAGGACAGGAAGGUCACCUCAGAUUUCCUGAACGAUGUUCAGCAAGCGUUUGUGAAGUACAGGGCCUCUUCAUUUUUGGUUAAUAAAGAAUCUAUUUGUCCAGUUUUAGCCCGACAAAUAAUAAGUGAGGGUUGUGCCAGAAAUAUUUGGACUCGGGACAUAAUUAUUGGAGAUGGUUCCACCAAUUUCGAAUAAUGUCUCUUAAUGAGACUAAGAAAUGAGAAAAAGAACCUGGUGGGGAAACAAAGUAGGUCAGAGACAAAAGAAAUGUGCUAUUCUGCUACAAAAAGUGGUGUCCUUGAAUUCACCCAAACUAGUGCAUCCAACUCUUCAAUGGGUUAGACACUUGGAACCUAUUACUUACUGAAUAUUCUGUGUUCUAGCUCAUUGGAGGAGUGGGGUAUCACAUGUAGUGAUUGUUAAGUUGCAUGAGAAAUCCUUUGGUGUGCGUUAUCUUUUGUGAAAGUCAUUAUGUAUGAAAAGGAUGUUUAUCUACUAUG